rnacentral:rRNA from 1 species
GCAUAUCAAUAAGCGGAGGAAAAGAAACCAACAGGGAUUGCCUCAGUAACGGCGAGUGAAGCGGCAACAGCUCAAAUUUGAAAUCUGGCUCACGCCCGAGUUGUAAUUUGUAGAGGAUGUUUCGGGUGAAGCCGCGGUCCAAGUCCCUUGGAACAGGACGUCAUAGAGGGUGAGAACCCCGUACCUGGCCGCCGGUGCCCCCCGCUGUGAAACUCCUUCGACGAGUCGAGUUGUUUGGGAAUGCAGCUCUAAAUUGGUGGUAAAUUCCAUCUAAAGCUAAAUACCGGCCAGAGACCGAUAGCGCACAAGUAGAGUGAUCGAAAGAUGAAAAGCACUUUGAAAAGAGAGUUAAAAAGUACGUGAAAUUGUUGAAAGGGAAGCGCUUGCGGCCAGACUUGCCUGCAGUUGCUCAGCCCGCCUUUUGGCGGGUGCACUCUUCUGCAGUCAGGCCAGCAUCGGUUUGGGCGGUCGGAUAAAGGCGUUGGGAACGUGGCCUCCCCUCGGGGAGGUGUUAUAGCCCGGCGCGCAAUGCGACCAGCCCGGACCGAGGUUCGCGCUUUGCUAGGAUGCUGGCGUAAUGGCCGUAAGCGGCCCGUCUUGAAACACGGACCAAGGAGUCUAACAUCUAUGCGAGUGUUUGGGUGUCAAACCCGUGCGCGUAAUGAAAGUGAACGGAGGUGGGAACCGCAAGGUGCACCAUCGACCGAUCCUGAUGUCUUCGGAAGGAUUUGAGUAAGAGCAUAGCUGUUGGGACCCGAAAGAUGGUGAACUAUGCGUGAAUAGGGUGAAGCCAGAGGAAACUCUGGUGGAGGCUCGCAGCGGUUCUGACGUGCAAAUCGAUCGUCAAAUUUGCGUAUAGGGGGCGAAAGACUAAUCGAACCAUUUAGUAGCUGGUUCCUGCCGA